CCUCUCUCCCGCCCACCUCCGCGUGCACUUCACCCGACGAGUCCCGGGGCCGCAGACCCACCUCCUCCUCUGGGGUGCCGCCGGAGCCCGAGCCCGUGCCGGUGCUGGUGCUGUGCUCGUCGUCCGGCUUCAGAAGAGCUGAUAUUUGCUCGUGGUGCUCAUGGUACAAGAUUCACAAGGUACAAAGGAAUGGUGAGAACAGUCCUUAAAAAGUAGCUCAGCCUGGAGAAUACAGCCAGGGGUCCCUGAGCCCUGCGGAAUGGAUGAAUGAACACUGUCGGAGGCAUUUAUGAGCACCUACUGUAUACCAAAGACUACAUUGAGCCCCACCGGGGAUGAAGCAGCCUUCAGCCAGGCCAGCUGGGAAUGCCCCAGGAGGCAGCGGCACUGGAGCCCGAGCCUGAAGGACCUCCGGCCUCCCGCCCCCUUCCCUGGACCACAGUUUUCUCAUUGUGAAACGAGGCCUUUGGACCAGCCGACUGAUGUGGCCCCUUUCUGCUGUUCUGUCUCAGCAGGUGAUGCUAUUGGAAUCCUGAGAAAUGAAGCCUUGAGAGCGGGAUUUCUGGGACAAGGCCAGGCCAGGAGGCUCCCCAGGGGUGCUCCUUCUGCGAAGGCUCUGAGCACUGCGGGGAGGCCUCAGACACGCGGGUGCCCGUCCUGGCCUCAACGUGUAGAGCCUUGAGGCCCUGAGCUGCCCAUUGUGCGCUUCGGACUCCUGCUCCGUGAGCUGGACCUGACAAUGCCCCUCAUACACACUCUGGUGAGAAGAUGACAGAGGGAAGAAGAGGGGCAGUUAUGACAAAUGCACGGACCAGGGCUGAGACCUCGUGUUUGUUGGAAGAUGGAGAGGGAAAAAACUUUUCUCCUCUUCUCCUAGUGGGUGGGCACAGCCUGUGUCUUUGGGAAGACUGUAAGAAAGCAAUCACCUA